UGGGGAAUAUUGCACAAUGGGGGAAACCCUGAUGCAGCGACGCCGCGUGAGCGAAGAAGGCUUUCGAGUCGUAAAGCUCUGUCCUAUGAGAAGAUAAUGACGGUAUCAUAGGAGGAAGCCCUGGCUAAAUACGUGCCAGCAGCCGCGGUAAUACGUAUGGGGCGAGCGUUGUCCGGAAUUAUUGGGCGUAAAGGGUACGUAGGCGGUUUUUUAAGUCAGGUGUCAAAGCGUGGAGCUUAACUCCAUUAAGCACUUGAAACUGAAAGACUUGAGUGAAGGAGAGGAAAGUGGAAUUCCUAGUGGAGCGGUUGAAUGCGUAGAUAUUAAGAGGAAUACCGGUUGCGAAGGCGACUUUCUGGACUUUUACUGACGCUCAGGUACGAAAGCGUGGGGAGCAAACAGG
rnacentral:rRNA from 1 species